CCGGAGGAAGGUGGGGAUGACGUCAAGUCAUCAUGGCCUUACGGCCUGGGCUACACACGUGCUACGAAUGGUCGGUACAAAGGGUUGCCAAGCCGCGAGGUGGAGCUAAUCCCAUAAAACCGAUCGUAGUCCGGAUCGCAGUCUGCAACUCGACUGCGUGAAGUCGGAAUCGCUAGUAAUCGUGAAUCAGAAUGUCACGGUGAAUACGUUCCCGGGCCUU
rnacentral:rRNA from 1 species